ACAUAGUGAGUGGGGGAAAGGAAAGAGAGGAAAAAUCAUUUUUUUUUUCUGUAUUCUUCACGCAAAUCGAAAUAGAGGGGGAGAAGAGAAGAACUUUCAGCGUUGGGGCUGAAAUUUUUACAAGCUUCAAUUGAUCAAUUGUAAAUUGGGGAAAAGAGAAGGUUGCAGAAUAAUCAUCUGCAGUUUUAGCACUGGACGCAACCUCCAUCAGCUUAUCUAACUAGUGUUGGGCGCACAUUUGUCGGUUUAUCCGACUAGCGCUGGGCACAAACUGUUUCGCGGAUUAUCUGCUAGGCACCAGGUGCCGUGUAUCAACUGGACUAUACAACAAGGUUUUAUGAAUGAUCUAAGGAGGAUGGUUAUAGGUUAGGUACUCUUUUUUGAUCGUCGACUCAGCAUCCAACAACAACAAUCCUGAUCUCAAGUGUGGUGAGGUUUAAUUUUGUAAUGACAUGUACCUAGGAUGUCUUUGGUUGUUAGUUGUUUUGUGAAUGUGAUGCAAAUUGAGUUAUAGGUAUACGUUUAUGGUUGAAGCUAAAUGUUAGUAUGCGUUUUGUCCAAAGGCUUGAUAUGUGUAUGAAACUUAAAGCUUGGUGUCUUAAGUAGAUUUAUGUUAGGCUAAUUGAGUGAUUUUGGUAUACUUUAAACUUUGAUUUGGAUGAUGCAUUGUCGAUGUGUUUUGAUGAUAUAUAAAUGUGGUACCAGUGAGGGUACAUUGGUUAGGCA